rnacentral:rRNA from 1 species
CCGAGCCUACGGGACGCAGCAGUAGGGAAUCUUCCACAAUGGGCGAAAGCCUGAUGGAGCAACGCCGCGUGGGUGAAGAAGGUCUUCGGAUCGUAAAACCCUGUUGUUAGAGAAGAAAGUGCGUGAGAGUAACUGUUCACGUUUCGACGGUAUCUAACCAGAAAGCCACGGCUAACUACGUGCCAGCAGCCGCGGUAAUACGUAGGUGGCAAGCGUUAUCCGGAUUUAUUGGG